AAAUAAGAAGUAAAAAAGAUUACAUUUAGUUUCGACCUAAACUUUUGGCAAAGGCCCUGCCCUUAUUUU
rnacentral:tRNA from 1 species